UUACAGCAGAUGUUGAAGCAGAUUCUUCUACAGUAUGAUUGUCAUUUCCAAGAGAUUCAUCAGCAGAGGUCUCGAUGUUUUGAUUAGUAUCCUGUAAAAAAAAGGAAAUUUACACAUAAAAUAAUUCACAGCCAUGAAAUUUUAGUAUAUUUUAUCUUACUGCAUUUGAAGAAGUAGAUGGUGCUUGAGAUGAAGAUGGAAUACUUGCAGGAGCUGGAUCUUCAGAAGAAGAUGGCACAGUACGAUUAACAGAUGAAGAUCCAGCACAAUCAGAAUCCUGUUGUUGAAAAGGAGUUGAUUAUGUCAUUAUAAUAGUUGCCUUCUUAAAAAAAAUAGCAACUGGAAAAUUGAUUCAAUAUUGAAUAGCCAACAAAGAUUUCCGUGUUCUUUUUGGACGAGGUACUGCAGAAGUGGAUGGUUCAUCAGACUUUACCUAGCAGAAAAGAUGCUCAUUAAAGUUUGAACAAAGUAUUCAUACAGGUGGAGAUUGCGAAGGGCCACCUUCUUCUUCAUCUUUGGAAUUAGGCGAACUGGUUGAAUUGGAGCAAUGAGAUAUUGAAGAAUUUGAAGACAUUUCAGUGGAAGAAGACAACAGUUGAUUUCCCUGAACACAAAUGGCA